GCGGUUGUAGCGCAGUCCGGUAGCGCGCCACGUUGCCAUCGUGGAGGUCGCGGGUUCGAAUCCCGCCAGCCGCU
rnacentral:tRNA from 1 species